GACGAACGCUGGCGGCGUGCUUAACACAUGCAAGUCGAACGGAAAGGCCCUGCUUUUGUGGGGUGCUCGAGUGGCGAACGGGUGAGUAACACGUGGGUAACCUGCCCUUGACUUUGGGAUAACUUCAGGAAACUGGGGCUAAUACCGGAUAGGAGCUCCUGCUGCAUGGUGGGGGUUGGAAAGUUUCGGCGGUUGGGGAUGGACUCGCGGCUUAUCAGCUUGUUGGUGGGGUAGUGGCUUACCAAGGCUUUGACGGGUAGCCGGCCUGAGAGGGUGACCGGCCACAGUGGGACUGAGAUACGGCCCAGACUACUACGGGAGGCAGCAGUGGGGAAUAUUGCACAAUGGGCGGAAGCCUGAUGCAGCAACGCCGCGUGCGGGAUGACGGCCUUCGGGUUGUAAACCGCUUUCGCCUGUGACGAAGCGUGAGUGACGGUAAUGGGUAAAGAAGCACCGGCUAACUACGUG
rnacentral:rRNA from 1 species